rnacentral:rRNA from 1 species
GUGGAAUCGAUAAGAGGAGGUUUAAGGUGGCCGCUAGACGUGUUUGGCAUCGUCACCGCGCGCGAUACUUUGGACACGGAUCGCAAGCGUAACAUUGUCUUCGCCCGUUCGAGGAGUAACUGUCAGACCAUAACAGAGCAGUGUCCGUAUCUAGAACUCACAGGUCCUACUCGUGCUGUUGUGCCUGAUUACGAUCCAGGGAGCUUUGAGGUUGUGCUCAAAGUUAAGGGUGCAACUGAAUCUGCUGAUAGAGACCUAAGUUUUCUAGUCCUGCCAUUAAAAGAACGUUAUCAAUAUCAUAGGUAUUAUACUAGUAAAUAUAGCACAUUGGAGUUAACACUCCGCCGUGUUGAUUGUUCUGUGGAGGCAACAAUCAGUAUGCGACUCGCUGCUGGUUCAUCAUGGCCACGCGGUUUCCAGGGUGUAUUUACCGCCAGUAUUGCCAGUAUAGAUGAUGCUGAAGUUUCCUUGCUUUCUUUUGAAGAUGAUAAAUUACUAGUUAUUGCCGAUGAUGGCAUCAUCAAGCUGACACGACGCAUUGUCUCCGUUGAACGAGAGCAUGGAGAGCUGAAAGUUUCUGCCACAGCAUGGUGUGCAAAUGAUGAGCAAGAUGCUAUGACAAAUGACAUAGUUUUCACACCUAGGUUCGCGGGUAGAAGUUGUGGUGUGCUUAACGUUGGCAGAUGUAAGAUCCAAAUCACUGUGGCUUGGUCCCUUUUUGACUCGUAA